CCUACGGGGGGCUGCAGUAACGAAUCUUCCACAAUGCACGCAAGUGUGAUGGAGCGACGCCGCGUGUGGGACGAAGUCCUUCGGGAUGUAAACCACUGUCAGGGGUUAGCAAGUUCUGAGCAACCCCAGAGGAAGGCACGGCUAACUCUGUGCCAGCAGCCGCGGUAAGACAGAGGUGCCGAGCGUUAGGCGGAAUCACUGGGCUUAAAGCGUGUGUAGGCGGAUGCCUAAGUACCUUGUGAAAUCCCACGGCUCAACCGUGGAACUGCUGGGUAUACUGGGUGUCUUGAGCCACCUAGGGGCGAGCGGAACAGACGGUGGAGCGGUGAAAUGCGUAGAUAUCGUCUGGAACGCCAAUGGUGAAGACAGCUCGCUGGGGGUGCGCUGACGCUGAGACACGAAAGCCAGGGGAGCGAACGGGAUUAGAUACCCCAGUAGUC
rnacentral:rRNA from 1 species